AACGAACGCUGGCGGCAGGCUUAACACAUGCAAGUCGAACGGGUGUAGCAAUACAUCAGUGGCAGACGGGUGAGUAACACGUGGGAACCUUCCUAGGGGUACGGAAGAACUCAGGGAAACUUGAGCUAAUACAGUACACGGCCGUGAGGAGAAAGAUUUAUCGCCCUUAGACGGGCCCGCGUCGGAUGAGGUCGUAGGUGGGGUAACGGCCUACCAAGAUUACGAUCCGUAGCUGAUCUUAGAGGGUGAUCAGCCACACUGGGAAUGAGACACGGCCCAGACUCCUACGGGAGGCAGCAGUGGGGAAUCUUGGUCAAUGGGCGCAAGCCUGAUCCAGCCAUGCCGCGUGAGUGAAGAAGGCCUUAGGGUUGUAAAGCUCUUUUACCAGGGACGAUAAUGACGGUACCUGGAGAAUAAGCCCCGGCAAACUUCGUGCCAGCAGCAGCCGCCGUAA
rnacentral:rRNA from 1 species